rnacentral:ncRNA from 2 species
AAAUGAAUAGCUUGUGUUAAUGCACAAACGUGCUGGCAACAACAAUUGCCAAGGGAACACGGAUGAAAUUUCCGGACUAUCCCAGUAACCGUGAAGCGGACGAACGGGCACCAUGUCACUGUUUAAGCGGGAAGACGCCCAAGUAGGAUGAAGCCAAGUCGGGAGACCUGUUACCACAUGAACUCCUGG